rnacentral:lncRNA from 1 species
CAAACUUCAAGAGCUGACUUCAGCUGCAAGCAGAAAUUAAACGUUUUGUUCAUCCUUUUCAUUCUCCAUCUACGAAUGAGAUGUUUCUUAUGAUGUUAAAAAACAAACAAAGCAGGCAACCUCUGCUUCAUUCUCACCCCUGAAUACUUCUCCUAUCUACUUGCUUGCAGGACGAUACAUGGAAAUGACCAAGCAACUCUGUGCAGGUCAGCAGGUGGCCUGACCUGGCGUGCUGUCUUCCAGGGAGAAGGCAAAGGCAGGAAAGAUUAAAUUCAGCUGGCAUCAUUCCCACUGAGUCACCAGUGGGGCUCAGGAGUGCUGGACUGCAGAGACAUGUCUUUGGGGCGAAAGUAAAAUGGGAAUCUGCCAUAUGCUGAGCUUCUUGCAAAAGGACCUGGAAUCAAUCCAGACCUUUAUUUUCUGAACUACAGCCUCAGGGCCCAUCCUAAAAGGCACUGAGGAGU